UGGCGGACGGGUGAGUAACACGUGGGUAACCUGCCCCUAAGUGGGGGAUAACAUUUGGAAACAGAUGCUAAUACCGCAUAGAUCCAAGAACCGCAUGGUUCUUGGCUGAAAGAUGGCGUAAGCUAUCGCUUUUGGAUGGACCCGCGGCGUAUUAGCUAGUUGGUGAGGUAAUGGCUCACCAAGGCGAUGAUACGUAGCCGAACUGAGAGGUUGAUCGGCCACAUUGGGACUGAGACACGGCCCAAACUCCUACGGGAGGCAGCAGUAGGGAAUCUUCCACAAUGGACGCAAGUCUGAUGGAGCAACACCGCGUGAGUGAAGAAGGCUUUCGGGUCGUAAAACUCUGUUGUUGGAGAAGAAUGGUCGGCAGAGUAACUGUUGUCGGCGUGACGGUAUCCAACCACAAAGCCACGGCUAACUACGUGCCAGCAGCCGCGGUAAUACGUAGGUGGCAAGCGUUAUCCGGAUUUAUUGGGCGUAAAGCGAGCGCAGGCGGUUUUUUAAGUCUGAUGUGAAAGCCCUCGGCUUAACCGAGGAAGCGCAUCGGAAACUGGGAAACUUGAGUGCAGAAGAGGACAGUGGAACUCCAUGUGUAG
rnacentral:rRNA from 1 species